AGCAGCCGCGGUAAUUCCAGCUCCAAUAGCGUAUAUUAAAGUUGUUGCAGUUAAAAAGCUCGUAGUUGAAUUUCGGGAUCAAUAUGUCGGUCGUGCUUCGGUACGUACUGGCGUUAUUGGUUUCUCCCUUCUGAAGAACCGCGAUGUCAUUAAUUUGGUGUCGUGGGGAAUCAGGACUGUUACUUUGAAAAAAUUAGAGUGUUUAAGGCAGGCUCGCGCUUGAAUACAUUAGCGUGGAAUAAUGAAAUAGGACGUUUGAUUCUAUUUUGUUGGUUUCUAGGAUCGACGUAAUGAUUAAUAGGGAUAGUUGGGGGCAUUAGUAUUCAAUUGUCAGAGGUGAAAUUCUUGGAUUUAUUGAAGACUAACUACUGCGAAAGCAUUUGCCAAGGAUGUUUUCAUUAAUCAAGAACGAAAGUUAGGGGAUCGAAGACGAUCAGAUACCGUCGUAGUCUUAACCAUAAACUAUGCCGACUAGGGAUCGGAUGAUGUAAUUUUUAAUGACUCAUUCGGCGCCUUACGG
rnacentral:rRNA from 1 species